GCCGGCCGGCCAGCACUUGCAUAACGCGACCUGACUCACCGCCGCCCGGGUCAGGGAGGGUCCCUUUGGGCGGGAGCCUCACCUCCGGGGCCGCCGCGGGCGGUGGAGCUGCCGCGCGGGGUGGCCUCGGCCGAGCCGCGGAUACAAGCCCUGGCCUGGUCACCCGGCACUCGUGCCAGCGACCGCCAGCUGCGGCCUGGGGUGGCCUCGGGGCCCGGUGGCUCUGGCUGCAGGCGCAGGUCGGCCUGGCGGGAAGACCGUGGCCUCUCCCAGGGGGAGGGGGGACCCCGGGAUGCUGGCCGGUGCCUCAGCGCCCGCGCCCCGGGCCCGUGCCAGGUUGGCCUCUCUAACCUCCGACGGCCAGUUGUGCAGGGGGUUGGGGAUAUUUCGGCCAAGGAGCUUUUCAUUUUAUAAAGGACGUAUUUUACUCUCUUUCGGGAGAGUUGUGGUACUUUCUGGGUCAAUAUUUGUUCUUUAGUUUCAACAUCUUUAGAAGCAUUAAAAUCCUCCCUGUUAAAUAUUCUCCAGAAACGAACCCUGGUCAGAGCAGGAAAUACUUGAGCAACCUCGGUGGUCGCCUACUUACUCUGUGGCACUUCGCUCAAACCGCUUUGAAACACGUCUACCAAUUGUUUAUGAUGCAAUUUUAUUUCAAAGCCAUAGUGGAAUUUUGUUUUGUCUUCAAAAUACCUAAGUUAGCGUUCCUCGCAUGUGCCAAAGAAGUCAGAGGAUGCCGCAUUUGAUUGAAUGAGAGUUAGUGGUGUGUCGAAGAAGCAGGCGCCUUCCUAGAACUCUCUGGACAUCCACCUGCCUGGUUCUCUGCUUCCACCUGCCACCUUGCCCUCCAUCCCUGCCUCCUCCCCCAACUUGACUCUUUAGGGUGUCUCUGGAGGGCCAACGAUGAUGCAUUUAACUCCUUACUGCCCCAGAGGGAGGAAAGCCCUGUUCUGGCCAACCGGCUACUUAGGAGAUAUUCUGGUUAGGCCAGUUUUAUCACAGGACGAAUCAUCCCAAAUAGCUCAAAUAAGAGCUGCCCCUGCAGGGCCCGUGUGGGGGGAGGUACACGUGGCAGUGUUUGUGCACCCUGGGUGGGAAAUGACUUUUGGGCAUCUUUCUCCUGUCCAAUCAGUGCUUGGACCCCCUCCUCAACAUUCCAGAGUCAAGCCCUUCCAGCUUCUUCUCCAACAGGUCCAGUGUUGGAGGGAGAGCUCUUGGCCGAGUGUAACUGCCCUUGGAUGGUUAUUACUACCAGAAAAGUUCUCCCGGGAACCGCAUCCCUUUCAUCUGUUUCCCCUAGAACAUGUGCUGGCGGUCCUUGCACACGCUACGUGCUGAAUAAAUGCAGGGAAUUUCAGCACACUGUAUGGUGAUUGUUUCUGCAACAUGUUUUUUUCAUGUGUUAGAUGUGUAAGAGGUGCUGUAACUGUUCCUUCUCCUCUCUCUCUUUUAUUGAUCUGUCAUGAACCUUGGUGUCCCAGAUACCAGCAAAGAAAAACAGUUUAUUUUGGCAUUCUCUCUCAAAUUUCUUCCUGACUGCAAAUAGGUGAAUACUGGUCAACUGAUGUUUUUAACAUCGGUACUUUGAAAUUUGUCCUCAUAAAGUAAUUUUUUUCAAAUAUACGUGUAUCUAUAUAAUAAAAACAGGAAAAGAU